UAUGCUAAUACGGGAUAAUAUAUUUGAGAGGCAUCUCUUGAAUAUCAAAGGUGAGCCAGUACAGGAUGGACCCGCGUCUGAUUAGCUAGUUGGUAAGGUAACGGCUUACCAAGGCGACGAUCAGUAGCCGACCUGAGAGGGUGAUCGGCCACAUUGGAACUGAGACACGGUCCAAACUCCUACGGGAGGCAGCAGUGGGGAAUAUUGCACAAUGGGCGAAAGCCUGAUGCAGCAACGCCGCGUGAGUGAUGAAGGCCUUCGGGUCGUAAAACUCUGUCCUCAAGGAAGAUAAUGACGGUACUUGAGGAGGAAGCCCCGGCUAACUACGUGCCAGCAGCCGCGGUAAUACGUAGGGGGCUAGCGUUAUCCGGAUUUACUGGGCGUAAAGGGUGCGUAGGCGGUCUUUCAAGUCAGGAGUGAAAGGCUACGGCUCAACCGUAGUAAGCUCUUGAAACUGGGAGACUUGAGUGCAGGAGAGGAGAGUGGAAUUCCUAGUGUAGCGGUGAAAUGCGUAGAUAUUAGGAGGAACACCAGUUGCGAAGGCGGCUCUCUGGACUGUAACUGACGCUGAGGCACGAAAGCGUGGGGAGCAAACAGGAUUAGAUACCCUGGUAGUCCACGCUGUAAACGA
rnacentral:rRNA from 1 species